UAGAGAUAGCCGAGGUACCUGG
rnacentral:misc_RNA from 1 species